UACGGAGGGUGCGAGCGUUGUCCGGAAUCAUUGGGCGUAAGGGGCGCGUAGGUGGCCCGGUCAGUUCGUGGUGAAAGCGCGGGGCUCAACCCUGCGUCGGCCAUGAAUACUGCCGCGGCUGGAGCACUGUAGAGGCAGGCGGAAUUCCGGGUGUAGCGGUGGAAUGCGUAGAGAUCCGGAAGAACACCGGUGGCGAAGGCGGCCUGCUGGGCAGUUGCUGACACUGAGGCGCGACAGCGUGGGGAGCAAACAGG
rnacentral:rRNA from 1 species